ACUAGUGUACGUUCAUUAUAAUUUAAACCUCUGAGAGCGACAAAUAAGAAGGAAGCUUGAAGACUAUGGGCCGAUAGACUUAGACACAAUAUUUGUCACAGACACAACAGACCAAUGGGUAGUAGAAGAGGAGGAGCCAGUAUUGCACAAGAGAGCGUUCCUUGAGGCUAUCGGUGAGGAAGAUCUUGAAGAAGGUGAUGAGCAGCAUGAAAGAGGAAGCAGCCAGCCA
rnacentral:lncRNA from 1 species